rnacentral:rRNA from 1 species
GACGAACGCUGGCGGCGUGCUUAACACAUGCAAGUCGAACGGAAAGGCCCUGCUUUUGUGGGGUGCUCGAGUGGCGAACGGGUGAGUAACACGUGAGUAACCUGCCCUUGACUUUGGGAUAACUUCAGGAAACUGGGGCUAAUACCGGAUAGGAGCUCCUGCUGCAUGGUGGGGGUUGGAAAGUUUCGGCGGUUGGGGAUGGACUCGCGGCUUAUCAGCUUGUUGGUGGGGUAGUGGCUUACCAAGGCUUUGACGGGUAGCCGGCCUGAGAGGGUGACCGGCCACAUUGGGACUGAGAUACGGCCCAGACUCCUACGGGAGGCAGCAGUAGGGAAUAUUGCACAAUGGGCGGAAGCCUGAUGCAGCAACGCCGCGUGCGGGAUGACGGCCUUCGGGUUGUAAACCGCUUUCGCCUGUGACGAAGCGUGAGUGACGGUAAUGGGUAAAGAGGCACCGGCUAACUACGUG